CGACCCCAGGUCAGGCGGGAUCACCCGCUGAGUUUAAGCAUAUCAAUAAGCGGAGGAAAAUAAACUAACAAGGAUUCCCUUAGUAACGGCGAGCGAACCGGGAAGAGCCCAGCUUGAAAAUCGGACGUCUUCGGCGUUCGAAUUGUAGUCUGGAGAAGCGUCCUCAGCGACGGACCGAGCCCAAGUUCCCUGGAAAGGGGCGCCAGAGAGGGUGAGAGCCCCGCC
rnacentral:ncRNA from 1 species